UACGUAGGGUCCGAGCGUUGUCCGGAAUUAUUGGGCGUAAAGGGCUCGUAGGCGGUUUGUCACGUCGGGCGUGAAAACUCAGGGCUCAACCCUGAGCGUGCGUUCGAUACGGGCAGACUAGAGGUAUGCAGGGGAGAACGGAAUUCCUGGUGUAGCGGUGGAAUGCGCAGAUAUCAGGAGGAACACCAAUGGCGAAGGCAGCACUCUGGGACGUGACUGACGCUGAGACGCGAAAGCGUGGGGAGCAAACAGG
rnacentral:rRNA from 1 species